rnacentral:rRNA from 1 species
GAUGAACGCUGGCGGCGUGCCUAAUACAUGCAAGUCGAGCGAACGGACGAGACGUUUGCUUCUCUCAUGUUAGCGGCGGACGGGUGAGUAACACGUGGAUAACCUACCUAUAAGACUUGGAUAUCUUCGGGAAACCGUAGCUCAUAACAGAUCAUAUUUUGAACCGCAUGGUUCAAAAGUGAAAGACGGUCUUGGUGUAGCUUACAGCUGGAUCCGCGCUGCAUUAGCUAGUUGGUAAGGUAACCGCUUACCAAGGGCACGAUUGAUAGCCGACCGGAGAGGGGGAUCGCCCGCACGGGAAGGUGGACAGCGUUCAGAGGACUGCGAGAGGCAGCAGUCGGGAAUCGUACGCAAUAGGCGGGAGCCUGACAGAGCAGCGGCACGUGAGUGGUGAAGGUCUUCGGUUCGUAAUGCCCUGUUAUUGGGGAAGAACAUAUGUGGAAGUAGCUGUGCGCAUCUUGACGGUACCUAAUCAGAAAGCCACGGCUAACUACGUG